rnacentral:misc_RNA from 1 species
UUACCAUUUUUGUCUGUUGCAUAAUUGUAGCAACAACCAAAUUGGAUAGUUAUGCGCCCUUUGCCCUUCAUCCACUUCUGUGGGGCUGUAUAUGUUUUUUCUUUCAGUUCUCCUUUUAUCCCCAACUCCUGAAGUUCAUGCACAUAAUUAACUAUCCUUGUCUGCUCUACAGCGCUAAAAACACGAGUGUGGAGUUCAAGUCCAUCAAGAAUAUUAACAAUCUUCCCUUUGACCCUCUCCAAACAAAUAAAAUCCUUCUUCCUCUUCACACUAGUAAACCUGAUGUAUUCUCUUUGCUCUCUCGACAGUUUGGGCUUCUCAAGCUCAUUUGACAUCUUCAUCUCCCCAGUCAAAGCACUUCUAUUAACCAUCCGCUUGUUCAACUCCCUCUGUUCCUCCUCCUCCACAAGCUCAUCUUCCUGCGCCAUGUCAGCCCAAGACAUCCGGUGGCUCGGGGCUUCAAUCAAAGGCGCAGCACCAAGAAUUCCACUAGUAGACGCCUCAGAAACAGGUUCAGACCACCCACUAGCUCCAUCUUUCCAACUACCUAAAGAAUUCGCAUCAUCUCCAUCCCCAUCUUUCCAACUCCCCGAUGAAUUAUUGUCACAGUUACCAUCGCAACAAUUCUCAUGCGACUCAGCAUUGCUCAGGGCCGCAGGCGUUAUUGUUUUAUCUGACCGUGAAGGUUCUGCUUCGGCACCAAG